GACGAACGCUGGCGGCGUGCUUAACACAUGCAAGUCGAACGGAAAGGCCCUGCUUUUGUGGGGUGCUCGAGUGGCGAACGGGUGAGUAACACGUGAGUAACCUGCCCUUGACUUUGGGAUAACUUCAGGAAACUGGGGCUAAUACCGGAUAGGAGCUCCUGCUGCAUGGUGGGGGUUGGAAAGUUUCGGCGGUUGGGGAUGGACUCGCGGCUUAUCAGCUUGUUGGUGGGGUAGUGGCUUACCAAGGCUUUGACGGGUAGCCGGCCUGAGAGGGUGACCGGCACAUUGGGAAUGAGAUUCCGCCCAGACUUCUUCCGGAGGGAGGAGUUGGGAAUAAUGCACCAUGGGCGGAAGCCUGAUGCAGCAACGCCGCGUGCGGGAUGACGGCCUUCGGGUUGUAAACCGCUUUCGCCUGUGACGAAGCGUGAGUGACGGUAAUGGGUAAAGAAGCACCGGCUAACUACGUG
rnacentral:rRNA from 1 species